rnacentral:tRNA from 1 species
GUCCGAGUGGCGAAAUGGGAACGCAGCGGAUUGCAAACCCGCGACGAGCCGGUUCGAUUCCGGCCUCGGAUU